AGUGAACGCUGGCGGUAGGCCUAACACAUGCAAGUCGAACGGCAGCACAGUAAGAGCUUGCUCUUACGGGUGGCGAGUGGCGGACGGGUGAGGAAUACAUCGGAAUCUACUUUUUCGUGGGGGAUAACGUAGGGAAACUUACGCUAAUACCGCAUACGACCUACGGGUGAAAGCAGGGGAUCUUCGGACCUUGCGCGAUUGAAUGAGCCGAUGUCGGAUUAGCUAGUUGGCGGGGUAAAGGCCCACCAGGGCGACGAUCCGUAGCUGGUCUGAGAGGAUGAUCAGCCACACUGGAACUGAGACACGGUCCAGACUCCUACGGGAGGCAGCAGUGGGGAAUAUUGGACAAUAGGCGCAAGCCUGAUCCAGCCAUACCGCGUGGGUGAAGAAGGCCUUCGGGUUGUAAAGCCCUUUUGUUGGGAAAGAAAAGCAGCAGGUUAAUACCCCGCUGUUCUGACGGUACCCAAAGAAUAAGCACCGGCUAACUUCGUG
rnacentral:rRNA from 1 species